UUAAGAUCCACUCCCCCAAAACCUUCGAGAUAUCAGAUAAGGAGUGCCUCUCGCUUAGUUGGUCAGUUUCAGUGUCAGGAUAACCUUGUUAUGCAAUUUUCUUGCUCGGCAGAGUAUAGCUGCAGCUUAUCUAGGUCAAAAUUUGAAUUCAACUGAUGGACAAGAAGUGCGCGUCUCCAUGCUGUUCAUAUUUAAUGUGUUUUCAAGCUACAUACACAAGGAUUAAGUCUGGAAUAUCAACUUCGGCUCAUUCAUCGUAUGGUUCAAUCAACCAGUGGUGCAGGGAAUUGAUUGUAUAUAGUCCGCCUUGAUUGCAUCAGAUUCUUUGCCCGUGAAAAUUAUACAAAGGAAUGCAACAUUUUGCUUUUGCUCUAGAGGGUGGAUUCUCCUGUUCAUUUCUUUCAUUCGUGGGACUUAACUACAGAUAUAUAUGCGUGAUCAAAAUCAAUGGAUCCGCCACUUUGUGGAACUUAGUAGUGUAAGACAGACGCGUACU